AUGCCUGCUCGUCAUCUACAAGCAGCCUCGUGUGUCUCUGUUCACGGAUCUUCAUGGCAGCUCCUCUUCUUCUCCUACUUUUCACUCCUCAUUGUUUACAGAACUAGGUUCAGCUGCCUUCGUCUGUGCAUAUCCUUUUCAUAUAACUGUUCAUCGGGAAUGAGCUGGAAAUUAAUUGAAAUCUUCAGAGUUCACAAUUUGCCUUUUCAAUGCCCCGAAAUACUUCCAUCGUGGGCACAAGAAUGUCAGGAAGGGGUGGGGCUAACCCCUAUUUUGGUGACCAUCUCUUCAUGCCCUGUUGAAUAUAACUUCUCCACCUAA
rnacentral:rRNA from 1 species